AACGAACGUUGGCGGCGUGGAUUAGGCAUGCAAGUCGGGGGAAUCCCAGCAAUGGGGGAACCGGCGUGAGGGGCAGUAAUGUGUGGGUACCUACCUUUGGGUUCGGGAUAGCCAUCAGAGAUGGUGGGUAAUACCGGAUGACGUCGUGAGACCAAAGAUUUAUCGCCCUGGGAGGGGCCCAUGUGAUAUUAGCUAGUUGGUGAGGUAAUGGCUCACCAAGGCGAAGAUGUCUAGCGGGUGUGAGAGCACGACCCGCGCCACUGGCACUGCGACACUGGCCAGACUCCUACGGGUGGCUGCAGUCGAGGAUCUUCGGCAAUGAGCGCAAGCUUGACCGAGCGACGCCGCGUGUGCGAUGAAGGCCUUCGGGUUGUAAAGCACUGUCGAGGGGGAGAAAAGCGCAAGCUUGAUCUAUCCCUGGAGGAAGCACGGGCUAAGUUCGUGCCAGCAGCCGCCGUAACAC
rnacentral:rRNA from 1 species